AUUAGGAAUCUUGCGCAAUGGGCGAAAGCCUGACGCAGCGACGCCGCGUGAGGGAAGAAGGCCUUCGGGUUGUAAACCUCUUUUGUCGGAGAAGAAACAAAUGACGGUAUCCGACGAAUAAGCUCCGGCUAACUCCGUGCCAGCAGCCGCGGUAAUACGGAGGGAGCGAGCGUUGUCCGAAGUUACUGGGCGUAAAGCGCGCGUAGGCGGGGAAUUAAGUGAGAAGUGAAAGGCUGGGGCUCAACCUCAUGCAGUGCUUCUCAUACUGGUUCUCUUGAGGGCGGUAGGGAGAAGUGGAAUGGCUGGUGUAGCGGUGAAAUGCGUAGAUAUCAGUCGGAACACCGGUGGCGAAGGCGGCUUCUUGGGCCGUUUCUGACGCUGAGGCGCGAAAGCCAGGGGAGCGAACGG
rnacentral:rRNA from 1 species